GACGAACGCUGGCGGCGUGCUUAACACAUGCAAGUCGAACGGAAAGGCCCUGCUUUUGUGGGGUGCUCGAGUGGCGAACGGGUGCGUAACACGUGAGUAACCUGCCCUUGACUUUGGGAUAACUUCAGGAAACUGGGGCUAAUACCGGAUAGGAGCUCCUGCUGCAUGGUGGGGGUUGGAAAGUUUCGGCGGUUGGGGAUGGACUCGCGGCUUAUCAGCUUGUUGGUGGGGUAGUGGCUUACCAAGGCUGUGACGGGUAGCCGGCCUGAGAGGGUGACCGGCCACAUUGGGACUGAGAGACGGCCCAGACUCCUACGGGAGGCAGCAGUGGGGAAUAUGGCACAAUGGGCGGAAGCCUGAUGCAGCAACGCCGCGUGCGGGAUGACGGCCUUCGGGUUGUAAACCGCUUUCGCCUGUGACGAAGCGGGAGUGACGGUAAUGGGUAAAGAAGCACCGGCUAACUACGUG
rnacentral:rRNA from 1 species